CACCGCGGUUAUACGAGAGGCCCAAGUUGACAGAUACCGGCGUAAAGCGUGGUUAGGAAAAACUUCUUCACUAAAGCCGAAUGCCCUCAGAACCGUCAUACGUUCCCGAAGGUAAGAAGCCCCAUCACGAAAGUGGCUUUACACUCCCCGACCCCACGAAAGCUGUGAAA
rnacentral:rRNA from 1 species